rnacentral:rRNA from 1 species
ACGUAGGGUGCGAGCGUUGUCCGGAAUUAUUGGGCGUAAAGAGCUUGUAGGCGGCUUGUCGCGUCUGCUGUGAAAAUCCGAGGCUCAACCUCGGACUUGCAGUGGGUACGGGCAGGCUAGAGUGUGGUAGGGGAGACUGGAAUUCCUGGUGUAGCGGUGAAAUGCGCAGAUAUCAGGAGGAACACCUGAGGUGAAGACGGGUUGCUGGGCUGACACUGACGCUGAGGCGCGAAAGCCAGGGGAGCAAACGGGA